UUUCUUGCUUUUUUAAAUGUGUAAUUGAUUUUUCAUUAUUCAAAUUAUUUACACGAAUAUAUGUUCGUGUUCUUAUCAAACAUAAAAUAACUUCAUCAGUUUUUUAGAUAAAGUGUCCCCGUGAAAAGUUUUGAAAUCUCUUUCCAAUUGUAAGACUGCUUUAAAAAGAUUAUCAGAUGGAAUUUUUAAACUGCCACAGGAUAAAUGAUUUGUCCAGUUAUCUGGUGGCUGUGAGUUAUGUGGAGCAGUUAAAGAAGGGUAUUUAUUAUAGAAACGAUUAGCUACAUAGCCCGAAACAUAUUCAGCAGGCCCUUCUUCCAAUAUUCGGAAUGGUGAUUCUUCAGUAUCCAGCUAAAACAAUCAAAAUUCAGGUCAGCUUCAGAAACAUGAAUAGUUUCAACAGUUGAUGUAUCAUUGGAAUUAUUAGAGUCAGCUACAGAUAAUUGCAAUUCAUAAAUGAUUUGGCCAGUCAAAC